rnacentral:rRNA from 1 species
UACGUAGGUGGCAAGCGUUGUCCGGAAUUAUUGGGCGUAAAGGGCGUGUAGGUGGAUUCUUAAGUCGUGUGUCUAAGUGCGGAGCUCAACUCCGUAUAGGCGCAGGAAACUGGGAAUCUUGAGUGCAGGAGAGGAAAGUGGAAUUCCCAGUGUAGCGGUGAAAUGCGUAGAUAUUGGGAGGAACACCAGUGGCGAAGGCGACUUUCUGGACUGUGUCUGACACUGAGGCGCGAAAGCUAGGGGAGCGAAC